UACGAAGGGGGCUAGCGUUGCUCGGAAUUACUGGGCGUAAAGGGCGCGUAGGCGGACAGUUUAGUCAGAGGUGAAAGCCCAGGGCUCAACCUUGGAAUUGCCUUUGAUACUGGCUGUCUUGAGUUCGGGAGAGGUGAGUGGAAUGCCGAGUGUAGAGGUGAAAUUCGUAGAUAUUCGCAAGAACACCAGUGGCGAAGGGCGGCUCACUGGCCCGGUACUGACGCUGAGGUGCGAAAGCGUGGGGAGCAAACAGGG
rnacentral:rRNA from 1 species